GCUUACUCGUUCUAGGCAGUGAAAAUGUCAGCCUGAAACACACAAAGUUCCAUAUCACAUCUUACGUCGUACCAGGAGGACGAUGGUGAAUCGCGUUGUACAUGUACAGGUGUAUGUGAGAACGCUAUAGCAGGUACAUAGGUUCACGCCCAUUUCUGUUGGUGUCAAGUAAAUUGCGAAGAUUUUGGAAUGCUAUACACAUAAUAUGAGAAUGAUCAAUAAUUCAAUAUCGAAAUGGCAUCGUUGGGCGGAGUGGCAAAAUAAAAUAUAUUAAAGUUU